UGUAUAGAGAUCAUGUUAUAUAGCAAAUCAAAAUCAUACUCUUUGUAUGUGGCUAUUAAGCCGAAAAUGGUAAUGGUUGAUAAGCGUCUUGUGUUUGAAUUCUAGUUAUGAUAAUGAAAUAUGGAUGUGUCAUGAUUUACUGGUAUAUGUGCUUGAUUAUUCGGAUGAUAUUCGGGCUAAGUCCCGAAGGCAUUUGUGCGAGUAGUUGCUAUACCCAGGCUAAGUCCUGAAGGCAUUUGUGCUAGUGACUAUAUCCGGGCUAAGUCCCGAAGGC
rnacentral:lncRNA from 1 species